ACAUAAUAAUAAGCGCCAGACCAUUAAAUUGGUGACGAGGAUUGAUAGUUAUCGAAAUUUCGGCGGAUUCUAUCACGGAUAAAGUUUUAUUCGUUAGAUAUAUAACAAAAAAUAAAAUUAAGAUUAUAACAAAAUAUAUAUCACAAACAAAA
rfam:Clostridium sp. CAG:433 genomic scaffold, scf29